rnacentral:tRNA from 1 species
UUAGAUCAGUUGAUAGCGUGCAUGACUUACGAUCCGGAGGUCAUGGGGUCGAAUCCCUGC